AGCAUAGACCUGAAGAAAAUGGAGGAAUGAGCCCUGUACAUUGUCAGGGAAGAACUGCUCUGGCAGAGGAAAUACAGAUGGAAAGGGCCUGCACUGGAAAAGUGAUCGGCAUGUUAGAGGCACAGUGAGGAGGCCAACACAACCGGUGAGGAGUGAAUCAGGAGAAUAAUAGGGGAUGAAGUCACAGUAUUGGGACCCAGGUCAUAGAGAGCCCUGGAAGGCAUUUUAAGGACUUGGACUUUGAGGAAAAUGAGAAACCAUUGGCCAGUUUGGGGUACAUGGAUGAUAUUUAACCAGAAGAUUCUUUUUCCUCUCUAUCAAGUCAUCACUUUCCACAUUUUAUGGAAAGAAGUUUUAUCUUUUCUUGUUAAGCUAUUGGUGAAUUUUUAACUUUGGGGUUUUGUUUCGGAUAGGUAUUGGGAGAAGGAGAGGCUGUCAACCCAUGCCACUAUGCUAUCUCUAAUUCUGCCAUCCAGACCGAGCAAACGUACUUAAGACCUUUGUGUAAGAUCAGAAAAUCAUAAGACAGCAUUAAAAAGUACUAUACAGGAGGAGAUGGAACAAGAUGGCCAAAUAGAAGCCUCCAGCAAUCAUCUCCCCGAAAGGAAUUGAACAACUAUCAAAACAAAAUUGAACAACUAUCUAAACAAAAAAGUACCUUCAUAAAAAACAAAAAUCAGGACAAUAUCAGAACGGCACAUACAAGUGUCCCCAAGUCAUAUUUGGAAUAAGAUCACUUGGGAACACAAGUCAAAGAAGGACACAGUGUUCUGCCUCUCCUGAGUAAGCAGCAACAACGCACCAUCUUGGAAUCAGGGGACGGCCCUCACCAGACAACUAAAUCUGCAGACACCUUGGACUUCCCAGCCUCCAGAACUGUCUUUCUGGCAACUGUCUAAACAUAAACCAGAGAAGGGCAAGGCAGACUCAGGAAGGACAAAUAGAAGGCUAUUUUCAUAAAUCGGACCACCACCACAUGUGCAGCAUCCCUCUGGGUCUCUUCCAUGACAACCCUGUGGGAAGCCAGGCAAGUGAGAAUCAAUGUAAACAUGAA